rnacentral:rRNA from 1 species
AGUGAACGCUGGCGGUAGGCCUAACACAUGCAAGUCGAACGGCAGCACAGGAGAGCUUGCUCUCUGGGUGGCGAGUGGCGGACGGGUGAGGAAUACAUCGGAAUCUACUUUUUCGUGGGGGAUAACGUAAGGAAACUUACGCUAAUACCGCAUACGACCUACGGGUGAAAGCAGGGGACCUUCGGGCCUUGCGCGAUUGAAUGAGCCGAUGUCGGAUUAGCUAGUUGGCGGGGUAAAGGCCCACCAAGGCGACGAUCCGUAGCUGGUCUGAGAGGAUGAGCAGCCACACUGGAACUGGGACACGUUCCAGACUCCUACGGGAGGCAGCAGUGGGGAAUAUUGGACAAUGGGCGCAAGCCUGAUCCAGCCAUACCGCGUGGGUGAAGAAGUCCUUCGGGUUGUAAAGCCCUUUUGUUGGGAAAGAAAUCCAGCUGGCUAAUACCCGGUUGGGAUGACGGUACCCAAAGAAUAAGCACCGGCUAACUUCGUGCCAGCCGCCGCGGUAA